GGACUCUAUAGUAUGCGUGGAAGCCUUAAUCCCAUUUGAAAAAGGAGAGCUUCUUAAUACCAUACAUAAGAUUGGAAUGGUAGAUAGAACAGUAUAUACAGAGCACAUGACACUAAUCAAGGCACACGUACCAUCGUGAAGGUCAUUUGACUAAGGAUUCUUGUGGAGCGCCUGCGUGCGAGAUGGAUCAAGGCCAGGGCUGAGUCAGAUUCGUUUACUUAUUAUGCUUUACGUUAACUUUUGGAAUUCCAUUGGCAGUGGGACAAUGUUUUUGCUUCUUCUUUUUUGUGAGAGGUGAAGAAAGGUUUUGGUUUUUUACUAAACAAGUGUCAAGAAAUUUAUUGAGUGUUCUGCAUUUUUUAUGGGAUUAUACUUUUGUAUUAAUUUCUCUACAAUAGUCACAAUGACAUCAAUUCUAUAAAGUCUUGUGCUUAUUGAUUUCUACUUUGUCUUCAGUAAUUAAGUACCGAUAGCAACUUGACUUGAAAUGAU